GCGGGGAUUCGGCGCUGGGCUCUUCCCUGUUCACUCGCCGUUACUGAGGGAAUCCUGGUUAGUUUCUUUUCCUCCGCUGACUAAUAUGCUUAAAUUCAGCGGGUCGCCACGUCUGAUCUGAGGUCGCAUCACAGAGGAAGGAACCCCCACCCCAAAGGGUGGGAGAGAGGGAAGGCGGCACGCGAGGAAGGGAGAACUCCGAGCUCUGCGCGCCCGGCAACGAGUCAGGCGGGAAACCGACGUGCCAGCGGCUCCGACCCGCUCGGCACGGAGCGGAACGGUCGGGGUGUCCCACCCGGGGCCCCAACAACUCGCGCGGAAGCACCGUGUUCAGCGACCACAGGCAACCGCCGCGGGGCUCGGGCCCUCGACAGGCGCUCCGUCCUGGGCCGAACGGGAAGGGGGCCUCGCCCGACGACGAGCGGGCCGGGGGAAGGAGGGGAGCGGGAAAGCGCCCGGUGGUCCGGGACAGCGUACACCAAAACCCCACGCGACACACCGCACCGCACGCCCUGGCGGGUCCAGACGCCGCCCGCAGAGGGCGCGAGGUCCCCAAGGGCGGGCGAGCUCCGCCACGCGGGCGGCCCUUCUCGCUUCAUCUUUUCGCCACCGUCUGCACUUCAGGGGACGGAGGGCCCCGGCCACCCUUUGGCCUCUGGGCGUGGCGGGACCCUGCGAUGACCCCCAGCCGCGCCCCACGCCCCCGAGACCCCGGAAAACCCCGACCGCGAACCCCCCCCCCAGCUCCAAACGCGCGGGCGCCCUCAGGAUCCACCGCGGAUCCUCCUCGCGAGCGACAACGGCUUGGGCGGGGAUGGGGGGAGGCGGAAGGGGUACCGGGGGAAACGGGAACCGGGCGAUUGAACGUUAAGCGACGCUCAGACAGGCGUAGCCCCGGGAGGAACCCGGGGCCGCAAGUGCGUUCGAAGUGUCGAUGACAUCGACGCACGAGCCGAGUGAUCCACCGCUAAGAGUUGUCCGGAAUUUUGGUUUUUUUUGGGAUACGCGGGAGGGAGGGAGGGGGGGGGAGGGCGCGUGGCCCCCCCCCCAACACCCCACAGCAACCCCCACAACGCGUAAACGGAAGGUAAAAAACGAGACACGACACGAUUUGGCAGUGGGGGGGCUCGUGAGGAACGACCGUUUCCCCGGGCGUCCCCGGGGAGGCAGCGCGGGAACCCGCUCCCGCAAAGCCACGGCCGGCCUCGCGGCCAAACUCCACAGGCGCCCGGGGGUCCCCGAGGCGGCAAGCGGGACGGGCCGACGCGGGGGACGGCAGCCACCGACAAACCCAACGGCGGCGACCCCGCGGAGGGGGGCACGCGGGCAACCCGGCCACCGGCAACCCGACCAGAGGGGGAGGAGCGACGACCCAGCCUCGUCGCGGCACCGGCCCUCGGCGCGGGGACGGCCGACGAGAGGGAGCCCCCGGGAGGGCAUCCUCUCCAGCGACGGCGCAGGGAAGCCCGUCGGAAUGCGGGACGCGGCGAGACAGCGAGGGCAGAGAGAGCAAGCAGCGCGAACGGCCCACCGGGGAUCAGGGGGAGGUUUUCGAAACAGAGAGUCCUCGCCUCGCACUUCCACGUGCAGCGAGGAGCGAGGCGGCCGCGACCAAGGACGGACGGCGCACGCACCGGAAACGCACGGGGGUUCGGCGAGGCCCAGGGCGAGCGCCAAGAAGACCGGGGAGUGGGACCCCAACCUUCCCAGGGGGCGGGAGGGGAUCGGACCCUGGCACCGACCCCACCGAGCCACCGCACCCCCCCCGACACGAAUUCCGGGCGACGACAGCACAAACCGCAGUCACUCCACGCACGCACACAGAGGGGGAAAAGAGCACUCCGCUCUAUCCUCCCCCCUCCCCCGAUGA
ensembl:lncRNA